UAGCCUGGGCUUGCCUCCUUGCCGAAUCAGUGCUGAUGUUCAUGUAAGGGGAAGGGUUUUGGACGUCCUUCUUAAAAGCCCCUCCCACAUGCCUGGAGCCUCAUUCUGGCCUGGAACAGGGAGGAGGAUGGGAGAAGCUGGUGUUAUUGGCAAGAACCUCAUGAUGAUAGUCAUUCAUGGUACCAGUCUCUCAAGGAAGCGGGGCAAAGGUUUGAAGAUCACAUCAAGGCCCUAGAAUUUUUAGUGCAAAACCUUGACAACUGGGAGGAAGAAUACAUGGAAGCUUUUGACAUGCUGCUAAGCUACCAUGAAAAUAACUUGUGGGAGUGGCUUGAGGAACAUAUUAAGAAUGUCAGUGCAUGGGUCAACAUGCACUUUGGGGUCCUGCAAGAGUUUGACAACUGGUAUAUGAAAGCUUCUGACUGCAAGUUGGAAAAAGAUAUUCUGUUCCAUGAAAAAUGCUGGGGUGAAAGUAUUACUAAGGCUGAAGUGUGGCUGGAAUACCCAAAUGUCACAUUGCACAAGUGGAUGGAUAAAGCCUCCCUGAUGUUCUACAAAGGAUGGAAAAUGCAGAGCAGUAAUGUGGAGACUUCAUUAAAAGAAUAUGCUGAGACACAUCUCCAGUGCUUAGAAGACUAUGUCAAAACUCUAGAACAGUUGUUGAACAACUACACAGCAGCAACCAGGUUGUUUUUGAAGAUAAAGAAGAAGAAGAAGAAGAAGAAGAAAAACAAUUUAUCCAACUUUUAG
rnacentral:lncRNA from 11 species